GCCAUAUCCCGUUGAAACACGGGUUCCCUUAUGAUCACCGAAGUUAAGAAUCGUUGAGCCUGGUCAGUACUUAGAGGGGUGACCACUUGGGAAUACAAAGUGCUGUCA